UUUCUGCUUGGAAAUCUAUAAAUACAGUCAGCUGUCAGAAUAAUAAUAUCAGAGGCUUUUGAAAUUUUUAUAAAAAUCUGAUGUCAAUUAGGACAUUAAGAAAAGUUAAGACAGGGGAUCCCUGGGUGGCACAGCGGUUUAGCGCCUGCCUUUGGCCCAGGGCGCGAUCCUGGAGACCCGGGAUCAAAUCCCACGUCGGGGUCCUGGUGCAUGGAGCCUGCUUCUCCCUCUGCCUAUGUCUCUGCCUCUCUCUCUCUCUCUAUCAUAAAUAAAUAAAUAAUUAAAAAAAAAAAAAAGAAAAGUUAAGACACCUUGGUACAACACUGCAUUCAGAUCUGUCCCUAAAAUAGUUGGUAAGAAAUGCUGAGAAUCUGCAUGGUUUUCUAUUUCCUCUAAACAAGUUCUGAAUGCCAUGGGACAACUCUUUCAAAUUCAAAAUCUGGGGAGUGAUGGGGAUUAAAAGUUAAAAAAAAAAAAACAACUAACCCUGGUUGCCUUGGUGGCAAAGCUCACAUUGGUAUCACUGAAUGAGAGAUGGUAGUGGCAUUUGUGGAAUGCAGUGUGGUGCCUCUAUACGUGGCUGAGAAGCCACCUUGGCAAGGCCAGAAGAUCACUGCACCCCAUUCUUUGCUCACCAGAGGAACACUCCGGUACUGGAGGCAGGCAGGAAGGACACAUAGCCCAGCCCCUCUUCGUUGCAUGCAUCUUGGGGCCACCCUCCCCCACACUGAAGUCCUGAGGCAGACUUGUAACUAUAUGGCUUGGAUCACUAACACUGUCAUUGAUGCUGCCAUGUCUGCGUUCACUGGUAAAAGGUGAUCUGUAGGUAAACAAUUUUGGUCUGAAUGAGCAGAGAGACCCAUGACUGAGAACAAGCUCUUAACUCCUUCCUGUUUGACAUCUUCUGGCCUUCUUCACCUCACCUGCUUAUGAUAUGUGUAACUGGUGCCUAGCUGUUAUACAGCAAACACUGGCGCUGAGGUCAGGCUUUGCUUUUAUAGGGCUGCUUUGGAAAGAAAUAAAGUCUGAUCGAUCUCCAGAACUGGAUGCUCACACCCGUGUCCCAUAUGGAGCAACUCAGAGCAGCAAGGGAAGGGUGAAAGAGCAAAGGCUCUGUCUCCCAGCUGAGGAAUCCAGGAAGGGGAACUGAAGAUCCUGAUCUGCCCAGAGAGGUAGACUCUAGCCCCAGAGAUCGUCUUGUCUGGUGAGGGGCAGCACAGGGUAGGGGUGGAGACUUGGGACCUCUGGAGAGUCAAAGGCAGACCAACCUUCUCCAGCUCUGUCCAUAAGAGCAGCACAAAGUACUAUAACUGGGAAGCUCCUCAUAAACAACCAUGCAACUCUUGCAUUUUAUAUACAAAUUACAUUGCCUCCUUCUCUGGGCCUCACUGUCCCUAAUGUGGUACCACAAACACACAACUGGGGUAGAGUAAUGGGGACAAGAGUCUUGGGUAUCCUGCUUGUUGUGUAAUUCCUAUUACCAACCCAUCAAGCUGCUUCUAGAAAUGUAUAUCACUUCUUUUCUCCUCUGAGCCCAGAAAAUGUUUUUAAAACAUAUUCGAAUCUUAUGCAGUCUAAAAGCUUGAUGACAAGAACUCUUAUUUUGGCGAGCAGUAUGAAUAGACGGUUCAUAGAAGAGCACGUUCAAAUGGCCAAUACACAAAGGGAAGAUGCCCAACCUGAGGAGUUGUCAGGGAACCGCAAUCACAGCAACAAUUAGCUAUCACUUAUCACUUCUUAAUUUUUAUCAAUCUGAAAGGUGAGAAAUCCCACUGCUGAGGGGUCAGGCUCAACAUCACCAGUGGAAAUGUAAAUUAAUUCAAUCUUUUUAGAAAGCAAUCUGACAACAUAGAUUCCAACUUAAAGGGCACAUUCCCUCAUACUUAAAUCUUACUCCUGGCAAUCUUUUCUAUGGUAGACACUAUUGGGUUGGUUUUCUACUUUGCAUUAUUUCCCCUUCCUCUUUGUAACGGAAGGCUAAGUUUCCUCAGGUACCCACCUUUGCCCUGGUAUAACUCACCUGAUCUUCACCCACAGCUUCUUUCAAAGACUUAGUAUGUCUAAGAGUGAUCUCACCUCCCUUGCCCAUGAUUGGCUCAGGGAUACAGGUCUAAUAAGCCAAUUAACUGCUGGCCUUUUCCUGGCUUCAAGGUUUGGUUCAAGACUAGACAUGUGACCUGUUCUAGACCAAUGAGACUGAAGCAGAAGUUCCCAGGGGCUUCUGAGAAAGAUGGUUCCUCACUCUAAGGAGAGACAGCAGAAGUCUCGCUCUUCCUCUGGCUGUUGUUGAAUGCAGUGGCCAGGCCACAGAUGACAGCAGCCAUCAUUGCUUUCAGUCUAGGAAUAAAGCACAAACACAGAUGAGGACCAGGGCCUACUAGAACCACAUCUGCCACUGACCUUUCUUGCCAAGGAAAGGUUUUCUUUCUAAUUUGUGAAGUACUUUAAACACAGAGAAAGGUACAGAGAAGAAGGUAGAAAAUAUCUAAGUACCCAUAACUCAGGUUUCACAAAUGUUCACAUUAUGCCCUAUGCAUGUUCUGCAUGUUAAAACAAACUUUAUAGACACAUCUGAAGCUCUCUUGUAGGUUUUCCUAACUCAGUAACUCUUUCACCCUCCCCAAAAACAAUCACUAUCUUGGAGUUGGCAAGUGUCUUUCUUUUCACCUUUUAAUAUUUUAUAUUAUAUGUAUAUUAGAAAGGACUAUAUGAAUUGGUCAAUAUCAGCCAUUUUUUUACCUAUAUUUUACCUCUAUUAUCCAUUUUAUAUAUACAUAUGUAUAUAUUUUUUGUAUAGUCCAUCUGAUAUAGAUACAUGAGUGUGUGUAUAUAUAUGUAUAUAUAUAUGCCAAUAGUUUCAUAAAUGGCAUCACUAUAUAUACAAUUUAAUGAGUCUGGUCACCAAUAUACCUUUGAGUUUUAUCCACGUUGAUCCUUGUCAUUUUUGCUGCCACUUAGAACUGCACUGACUAUGUGUGCCAAAAAAGUACUUUUUCAUCUCCCACAGAUGGGUGUUUAACUUGUUUUCCAUUCUGUCAUAGGUCUGCAUCUCCUAGAGCACAUGGAGGAGGUCACUAGGAUAGACCAACAAAGUGCAGUUGCUGGGGAGAGGCUGGAUCUUGAAAUUUACUAGUUGUUGUCUGCAUUUAUAAUCCCACCAUGCAGUAUGACAAGUUCUUCUUCAAUGCUUCCUCUCCUACCUGGCUCAUUUUUGUCAGACUUCAACACUUGAACUAAUCUGCUGGCUGUGGAAUGGUUGCCUUUUGAGGUUUUAAUGUGCAUUUCCCUCAUUAUUAAUUGAGCAUCUUUCCAUAUAUUUAUGAACUAUCAACUUUCCCCUUCUGCAAACAGCUUCUUCUCCACUAUACUUUGACCAUCUCUCUAAUGCUUGUUUGUGGUUUUCUCAUUGAAUGCUAGUAAAUCUCUAGGUAGUCUGAAUUAGUUCUUUGUUACAUGUUUCAAACAUCUCCUGGUGAGGGUCUUAUUCAUCCACAUUUAAAAAACGGUUUCUAUUGUCAUUCAUAAGCUUGAAUUUUUAUGUUCCAAAAUUUAUAAAUUUUUCCUUUUAUUGUUUUUUUGUGUCUUAAGAAAUCCUUCCCUUCAGGAAGAGAGAAGAAAUGGGUAGGAAAUAUCAGAAAGGGAGACAGAACAUAAAGACUCCUAACUCUGGGAAACGAACUAGGGGUGGUGAAAGGGGAGGAGGGCAGGGGGUGGGGGUGAAUGGGUGACGGGCACUGAGGGGGGCACUUGACGGGAUGAGCACUGGGUGUUAUUCUGUAUGUUGGCAACUUGAACACCAAUAAAAAAUAAGUUUAUUAUUUUAAAAAAUGUAACUAAAAAAAAAAAAA
rnacentral:lncRNA from 1 species